ensembl:lincRNA
UGCUCUAAUAGGGAAUUUUUUUUUUAAAGGAAUAGAGAGAAGAGUAGUGAUCCUCAGGAGUUGAAAGCUAAGUGGGGUAUAAACACAUUGACAAAAAUAGAAGUGCUACAAAAAGAUUUGCACCAUUUAAGUAAAAGAAUCAAGAAUUGCAUAUGAAGUUUCUUAUUUUCUGAUCUUUCUAAGAUAUUCAUGGUACAGUGUUUGAAAAUCUGGAGUAAAAAUUUUGCCCCUAAGUUUAUACCCCAGGAUAGCCAGUGUUAUUUUCCUUACAAAAAUGUUUCUUUUUCUUUUCUGUAUUUUUUAAAAUAUUGAGAUACUGUCUUUACAUUUUUUAAAUAUCUGAGAAAAAUCAGAAGAGUGAAAGGACAAUAUAGCAAACACCCAUGUAUAAUGUUCUCCUAAAUGAAUAAUUUUUUGGCCAACAAAUCUUCGCUGUUGUGCUUUUGUUUUUAGAGUACUGCGGAUCUAUCCCAGGGCCUCACACAUGCUAGGCAAGCACUCACCCCUGAGACACACCCUCAGUCCCCUCUUUUUUGGAGAGAAGGUCUCACUAAAUUGUUCAGGCUGGCCUCAAACUCGCAAUUCUUCUGCCUUCAUUUUCCUAGUAACUGGAGUUACAGACGUGUGCCACCAUGAAAGAUCUUAAUUUUUUUAUAAAGAAGUAAAUCAUUACAAUGUCUUAAGUGUCUAUUCCAUACAUAAUCCCAUUUCUCUGGUUUCUCCCAAGAGACAACUAAUAACAUAAAUUAGAUGUAUUUUAAUAUUUUUAUUACAUUUGAUUACAUAAAAGUACUAUUUCAAAUCAUGGCAGGGUCAUAGAAAUGUGCCUUGGAAGCUAAUCUGCAAGAUGUCUCUGCCAUUAUCUAACAUAUGGUAUUUGAAUUUAUUAGAAUCACAGGGGACUAGAAUUCAGGUCAGACUCAAUCUCCUGGUCAGUCUCAACACUAAAUUAUUGUAUUCAGUAAUCUAAAAUAUUCUGUAAUUUAAUUCAUCUAGAGAAUAAAGAUACUUCUAUCAAAUAAUCUUUUAUUAUUUUUUGUAGGAUUGCUUAACUACUUAAUUUAUUUUCUGGCUGCUUGUGCUGUUAGUUUGAUAAUUGGUUUCUUUGCACUGGCCUCAGCUUUGUGGUUCCUGAUUUGUAAACGAAGAAAAAUAUUUCAAAAUUCUAGCUUUAAAGCAGCAGAUGAAAGAGUCAGGCAAAGACCACCAAAGGUGCAAACUAAGCCCCAUUCUCAGAGUGUAUUCAUUUCUCGAAGUUUUCAUACUGGAAGAUUCCAAUCACAGGAAGAGCAAAGAAAAAAGAAAAAAAAGAAAGAAGCAUGUAUAAAAGCAAUUAAAGAUCAUCCUAAAGACAAACUCUGCCCUGAAACAGAAAAGGUCGUCUGUGACUGCCAAGAGAUUAGCUCAACAACAUACAGCAGCAGUGUCUCGUUAAACUUACCAACAUCACCAUCAGAUUCUCAUUGUAGCCAAAGUAUACAGGCAGCUGAAGAAUGGUUUUCUGAUGAUUCUCUAGCAGAAUAUAAUUCUCCAGAGCCUUGCCCUAGGGAAACCCUAGAGGACAAAGUACUUUCAUACCUGUCAACAAUUUCACCAGAAGAAUGUACUUAAAAUGUAAUGACUAUGAUGAUGUAUGAGAAUCAAAAUGAUGACAGCAUUAAGGAAAUGUUUCCAUGAAGAAACACUGAAGUUGAAAUGCAAAGCUUUCAAUAUAAUAGUGAACGGCUCUUUUUCUUUUGAAGCCUUGUAUAUCAGGUAAAGUUAAAAUUGAAUUACCAGCUUCUAGUCUCCUAACGUGUUCAUGCUAAUGUUGCUUUUCUUGUGCUUUUUUGUAGAAUGGUCUUGAUCCCCUUGCUGCCUCUUAUUUCCAUAAAUAAAACUAUGGGAAGAACUAUAGGGGAUGUGGCUCAGUGGUAGAGUGCUUGCCGUGCACGCCCAAACCCUAGGUUUGAUCCCCAGCACCACAAAGGGGGGGGGGGACUACAGUAGUAUCAUGAAUAUUAACCUUAACUCCUCGUACCUCAUCAAAAGAUAAAAUAAAUAAUAAAACUGUAUUUGCAACAUGCAGGAGAAAUACUUACAGAAAUCUUCACAAAUGUAUUUUAAUAAAACAUCCACAGCAUUUGUUCUACUUUGGACAUAUCAAUUUUAUUUCAGUGUGAGUAGGUAUGGGUGAAAUAUCUCCAUCAGCUUUUCUGAAUUUACAAAACACAAAUCACCUGUCUUUUGAAUCCUAUCAUGCCAUGAUUUUGGUGAGCAAGAUAAAUUUGCUCUUACAAGACACCCUGGAACACUGGAGAACCCAGAGAAUAAUUUCCUUUUGCCUCUCCUUUCUCUGUUUCUCAGAAUGCCCCCCAACCCUCACCCUUCUGUAAUAAAAAUGGCUCCUAAUCACCUGAGUCAAGCUAGAUGAGUUAGAGUUCCUUUCUAGUACAAGAGGUUUUUGGUCCAAAAUGUAUGGUUAUGAGGGAUUUCUGAACCCAUCAUGUAAUCUCUUUUUUUCUUUCCUAAAUACUGUCCAUGUGGUCAAUCUUUUUAUUUUGCUUUCUCUUAGGAAAAAAGAUUGAUUAAUAUUUGGUAUAAUACUACCUUUUAUGCUUGAAUAACAUAAGACCUAUUCAUACCUUCCCAAGGGAUAAAUCACAUCUAUUAACAAUAAAUGCAAAAAAUUUGUCUCAAAUAAGGUAAUAAACAGUAUUACCCAGGUCUGCAAUUUCUGACCCAGGAAAUAGUAAAGGAGUUGGAACACCUUUCUCUCUUGAUGCACUUGGGCGAUUCCACACAGUGUGUGGUGGGUCCUGAGCACCUCUCUCCUGUCCAUCCCUAAAUCUCUGCAAGCUGUUUCACGAGGAGCAGUAAAAACAAAACCUUUGGUUGGUCUCUCUCUCUUAGUAUCCUGAAAUUCAUGUCUUCCUGUGUAUCAGGUAGGAAGGGAGUUAUAGCUAAUGAUGGCAAAGUCCUAAGGCUUCCCCCAGGAAUUUGGGGUUGGAAAUAAGAGAUUCUAGCUUUUGUCUGACUGGUCUCUGGAAUAGAAGAAACAUAAACUGGGGGCUGUGCAUCACCAUGUCCUACCAGGCAGCUUGAGAAGUAAAAGCAGCAAAUCUGCAAAGAGAGAACAAUGAAGCAUUUGCAAGUUGAAAAGCAGAGAUGAGAGAUCAGGAGAACAUGAUAUCCUCCCUGCCCUUGGCUUGCUAGGGUAUCCUUGGAUCCUAAUUGUAAAGUCUUUUUUUUUUUUUUCUUAAGCUCACAAGAUAUGAUUUCUGUUAUUGGCUACCAAACUUGAGGCCUGGAUUUAACUGUCAUUCUUGGCUUUAAUAUUCUUUUGUAAUUUUAUAAUAAAUUCUCCUCUUUGCC